rnacentral:rRNA from 1 species
UACGUAGGGGGCGAGCGUUGUCCGGAUUUAUUGGGCGUAAAGAGCUCGUAGGCGGUUUGGCAAGUCGGGUGUGAAAACUCCGGGCUCAACUCGGAGACGCCACUCGAUACUGCCAUGACUCGAGUCCGGUAGGGGAGUGCGGAAUUCCUGGUGUAGCGGUGAAAUGCGCAGAUAUCAGGAGGAACACCGGUGGCGAAGGCGGCACUCUGGGCCGGUACUGACGCCGAGGAGCGAAAGCGUGGGGAGCGAACAGG